GACGAACGCUGGCGGCGUGCUUAACACAUGCAAGUCGAGCGGUAAGGCCCUUUCGGGGGUACGACGAGCGGCGAACGGGUGAGUAACACGUGAGUGACCUGCCCUCAGCUCUGGGAUAAGCCUGGGAAACCGGGUCUAAUACCGGAUAUGACUCCAUGACGCAUGUUGUGGGGUGGAAAGCCUUGUGCGGCUGAGGAUGGGCCCGCGGCCUAUCAGCUUGUUGGUGGGGUGANGGCCUACCAAGGCGACGACGGGUAGCCGGCCUGAGAGGGCGACCGGCCACACUGGGACUGAGACACGGCCCAGACUCCUACGGGAGGCAGCAGGUGGGGAAUCUUGCGCAAUGGGCGAAANCCUGACGCAGCGACGCCGCGUGAGGGAUGACGGCCU
rnacentral:rRNA from 1 species